rnacentral:rRNA from 1 species
UACAGAGGGGGCAAGCGUUAUUCGGAAUUAUUGGGCGUAAAGGGCGCGUAGGCGGCUUUGCAAGUGACGGGUGAAAUCCCUCGGCUUAACCGAGGAACUGCCUGUCAAACUGCAUGGCUUGAGACCGGGAGAGGUGAGUGGAAUUCCCAGUGUAGCGGUGAAAUGCGUAGAUAUCAGGAGGAACACCGGUGGUGUAGACGGCUUUCUGGACCGUAACUGACGCUGAGACACGAAAGCCAGGGUAGCGAACGGG